rnacentral:rRNA from 1 species
UACGGAGGGGGGCUAGCGUUGUUCGGAAUUACUGGGCGUAAAGCGCGCGUAGGCGGCUUUGUAAGUUAGAGGUGAAAGCCCGGAGCUCAACUCCGGAAUUGCCUUUAAGACUGCAUCGCUAGAAUCAUGGAGAGGUUAGUGGAAUUCCGAGUGUAGAGGUGAAAUUCGUAGAUAUUCGGAAGAACACCAGUGGCGAAGGCGACUAACUGGACAUGUAUUGACGCUGAGGUGCGAAAGCGUGGGGAGCAAACAGG